AUUGAACGCUGGCGGCAGGCCUAACACAUGCAAGUCGAGCGGAUGAAGGGAGCUUGCUCCUGGAUUCAGCGGCGGACGGGUGAGUAAUGCCUAGGAAUCUGCCUGGUAGUGGGGGAUAACGUCCGGAAACGGGCGCUAAUACCGCAUACGUCCUGAGGGAGAAAGGGGGGGAUCUUCGGACCUCACGCUAUCAGAUGAGCCUAGGUCGGAUUAGCUAGUUGGUGGGGUAAAGGCCCACCAAGGCGACGAUCCGUAACUGGUCUGAGAGGAUGAUCAGUCACACUGGAACUGAGACACGGUCCAGACUCCUACGGGAGGCAGCAGUGGGGAAUAUUGGACAAUGGGCGAAAGCCUGAUCCAGCCAUGCCGCGUGUGUGAAGAAGGUCUUCGGAUUGUAAAGCACUUUAAGUUGGGAGGAAGGGCAGUAAGUUAAUACCUUGCUGUUUUGACGUUACCAACAGAAUAAGCACCGGCUAACUUCGUG
rnacentral:rRNA from 1 species